rnacentral:rRNA from 1 species
GACAGAGGAGCCAAGCGUUGUCCGGAUUGACUGGGCGUAAAGCGCACGCAGGUGGUCGUGCAAGUGUCGUGUGAAAGCAGCUCGCUCAACGAGCUGAGGCACGUUAGACUGCACAACUCGAGCCCGUGAGAGGUCGGUGGAAUUGCCGGUGUAGUGGUGAAAUGCGUAGAGAUCGGCAGGAACACCCAAGGGGAAGCCAGCCGACUGGCACGGUGCUGACACUGAGGUGCGAGAGCGUGGGGAGCGAACCGG